rnacentral:rRNA from 1 species
GACGUAGGGGGCCAGCGUUGUUCGGAAUUACUGGGUGUAAAGGGUUCGUAGGCGGUGCGGCAAGUCGGGUGUGAAAUCUCUGGGCUUAACCCAGAGGCUGCUUCCGAAACUGCUGUGCUUGAGUGUGGGAGAGGCGCGUGGAAUUGCAGGUGUAGCGGUGAAAUGCGUAGAUAUCUGCAGGAACACCCGUGGCGAAAGCGGCGCGCUGGACCGCUACUGACGCUGAGGAACGAAAGCUAGGGGAGCAAACAGG